rnacentral:lncRNA from 1 species
GGGAAAUUUUUGGCUGCACAAGCUUGGAAUGAGUAUAAGCAAGUGGUCACAGCUGAAUUCCCUGAUUGAAUUGGGUGAAAACAGAGCUCUAGAAAAAGAUCAUCCAAACACAUCUGAAGUUUGUUCUGAUCUUGACCACAAAGUUGCUGAGCUGGAAGAGUGUAAAACAAAAGAAGAGUUUCCAUAUAUCCCAUACAAACUAGCUACACUGUAUAUUCUAAAGGUUGUAAAAGACAUGCAGGAAAUGAAAAGCAAACACAUGAAGAUAAUCAAACAACUAGACAAUUUAAAAAAAGAAAAACAGGUAGCUAAUAAAGAAAAGUCUGAAAGCACAGUGGAAAUAGGACCUCUUUGGCAAGCACAUGCCAUCCUGCAAAAGAUACAGGAGUCUUUAUGGAAACAAGAAAGAGAAGUUACUGAGCUCCUGGAAAGUGAAAGGAGAUAUAACAACACAAUGAAACCUCAAAUUACAGUCCUAGUAUUCUUGCAAAAUCUGGUCAAGAAGGUUCACACCAUAUACUCUGAUGUCCCUGAGGCACAGCAGUACCUCAGUCAGCUUGUCAAGAAGAAUGAGGUUGAAAGGGCUGAUUGGAAAGGAGCCUUUAAUAAUGCUCAGGCUGACAUUUUGUCCUAUGAGGUAUUUUGUGGAAAUGAACCUAUGGAUGACAAAAGUGACAGGACGCAGCUGUCAACAAAGCUUUUCAGAAAUUUUGAGAGAGCAAAGUCUGAAUUAGAAUUUGUUGAAACAGAGAAGACAGUUUUUGAUUGUAUCCAGACAGGAGAAAUCCCCAACUGGAUUAAAAGGGAUUGUCUUUAUGUAGCCUUGACAGGUGGCCAAGAGAACCAUGAAACAGUAAAAAACACACCAACAAUGGAACAAUUUUCCUCUUUUAAGGGGAGACACUGGAUGGACAUCUUGGAUAAUGCAGUUAGUAGCUUUGUGAUAAAAAAAUUAAUUGGAAGAAAUUCAAGCCCACUGUUCACUCUCAAUAAACUUUUGUAGGAGUUUAAGUGUUUUGAAACUUUUAGUCAUAUUAAGAAAUAUUUCAAAGACAUUUUUGAAAACAACAAAACACACACGCACAAAACCCCCCACUAUUAUAUCCUGAAAGAGUCUGACUAAACUAAAGGGCCUAGAUACUUUCUUUAAGCAGAUACAGAUCUAUCUGUUUGUAAGUGGAUGGGAUUCAUCUAAAUAAACUUCCAGUGUCUAAAACUGUGCA